rnacentral:rRNA from 1 species
AUACAGAGGUUGCGAGCGUUAAUCGGAAUUACUGGGCGUAAAGCGCGCGUAGGCGGUUAUUUAAGUCAGAUGUGAAAUCCCUGGGCUCAACCUAGGAACUGCAUCUGAAACUGGGUAACUAGAGUUUAGGAGAGGGGAGUAGAAUUUCGGGUGUAGCGGUGAAAUGCAUAGAGAUCCGAAGGAAUACCAGUGGCGAAGGCGACUCCCUGGCCUAGAACUGACGCUGAGGUGCGAAAGCGUGGGUAGCAAACGGGAUUAGAAACCCUAGUAGUCC